CAGUCGCCGCGGUAAUACGAAGGGUGCAAGCGUUAAUCGGAAUUACUGGGCGUAAAGCGUGCGUAGGCGGUGAGUUAAGUCUGCUGUGAAAUCCCCGGGCUCAACCUGGGAAUGGCAGUGGAUACUGGCUCGCUAGAGUGUGUCAGAGGAUGGUGGAAUUCCCGGUGUAGCGGUGAAAUGCGUAGAGAUCGGGAGGAACAUCAGUGGCGAAGGCGGCCAUCUGGGACAACACUGACGCUGAUGGACGAAAGCGUGGGGAGCGAACAGGAUUAGAUACCCCAGUAGUCCCUGUCUCUUAUAC
rnacentral:rRNA from 1 species